rnacentral:rRNA from 1 species
ACCCGCUGAAUUUAAGCAUAUUAUUAAGCGGAGGAAAAGAAACUAACCAGGAUUCCCUCAGUAACGGCGAGUGAAGCGGGAAGAGCCCAGCACCGAAUCCCCCGCCCGUGAGGGCGGAGGGACCUGUGGUGUUAGGGACGUCCUCCGUGCGCGGGCGCCUGCGCCCGAGUCCUCCUGAUAGGGGCUCCACCCAGGGCGGGUGUCAGGCCUCUACGGCGUGGGCCCCGCGCGCCACGGGCGUCCUCGGAGUCGGGUUGUUUGGGAAUGCAGCCCAAAGCGGGGGGUAAACUCCAUCUAAGGCUAAAUACUGCCUGA